rnacentral:lncRNA from 1 species
UGUAAUACUGUAUAUAUCUAAAAUUCUAUUAAUAUAUAUUACUAGCUUUGCCUGGCCACGCGUUGCUGUGCCUUAUGGGAAUCCUUUGUUGGCCAGGUGGAAUAGCAGUGAAUAGCCUUGCAGUCUCAAAGCCUGGCCAUUUUCUGGAGUAGCUGGAGCUUUUUGUUGUAUGAACGUAGAGGCAUGGAUGAGGGGUUGUGCUGCCAAGUUUAGUGUUUCUAGGAUGUGUAGGUUGUUUUGUCCUAGGCCGAAAUUUCAUUACCCUUUUAUAUAUAUAGAUGUGAUAUCAUCCAUAGAGUCCUCAGUACUGGGCAGGGAACAUCUUGUUUCUGUACCUGAUUGUUGUAUCCCUCUACUCUGAACCUAAUCCCAUUGGGCCCAUGAUGUUAAAAAUGUACGCUCUUGGUCCCUAAGAAUUAAUAUGGAAAUUAUUUUUCAACUUAGAAUAUUGCUGUGAAGUGUUUAGAAUCAUUGGCUGGUUUAAAUCUACAUUCAAGCCAACCAAUGAUUCAAAGCACUUCACAGCAGCAUUAUCCCAAAACAAUUCGCAGCACGUACCCCAUUCUGCUUUUCCCAACAAAGAAUACAAAAUUCCAAGCUGAAAAAUAAAGUUUGCUUUGAAUAAUAUAAGCACUCUAUAGUCAGAAUGCUUUGUUUGAAGCAACAAGUUUAAAGGGUUUAACCUUAAUAGUGACUUCCUACUUUUUCUUGAAGCAGUAUAUCUGCAGCACACUUCAAAAGGAAAAAAUAUUUUUUGUAAAAGUUUUGCUUUUUUCAGUUCUUUCAGAAUGCUUGAGGCCUGCAUUUCUACACCACAGCAUCACUGCAAAGCAGCUUUAGCUUCAAAUGAAGAAUGCUCAUCAUGUUCCUGGAAAUUCAAGCUGGAGAUGUAACUUUUUAAAAAGUGUUUUAGUUGCAUUCUCCUGAGCCAGUGCUUCUGAAAUAACGUCAGGUUCUGAAUGACUGCCCAUUGCUGUAAUAGUAAUGGAUGACUGGUUACAUGAAGCUAGGUAUGUUUGAGAAGUUACUUUAAAAACCCCUUCAUUUUCCAGUAUUUUUUUCUGGAUCCCCAAACUAGUUAAUUACCAUUUUAAAAGUAUCAUUUCACUUUCACAUUUAUAAAAAGUACUUACUUUACUUUCUUUAAAAAAUGCAUAUAUUUUCAUUUAGCAGUAUGGGCCAGCAUUUGAAAAAUGUGAUAAUCAUCCUCCAUGAUUUCAUGAAGCCACACUCCUGUAGCUAUAAAAGUAGCUAAAACUUCUUGCUGUGACAGACGUGAAAUUUCUCCCUGGUUAAGCCAUGACUGAAAACCCCUAUAUAGUUAUACUUUAGUUUUUGGAGAAAACUCUGCAAUCUAGUAAGAGAGAAAAACAAUAUAAUCAAGUAACUAGUUAUUUGUGGCUAUUUCUAUUACAUUAUAUGUAACUUAUUGCCAUCAUUUGUUUUUCUAUUUGCGUGUGCAAGGCAACCACCAGUCUCCCUGAUGAAUAGAAGAAACAGUCUCACACAUGAUGUUGGAAUAACCAAAGGCAACGACUUGUUUAUCGGUUACAGCUGAAAACAGGUUUGGCAGUCAUACAUGGGUUCUGGGUCAAGGGAAUGGACAGCCCGCUGCUGACCAAUGGACAAAUGAGCAACUAGGGCAUGCCUAGUGCGGAUUCCCAUUGAAUCAGCACUGGCACACAUGUAUCACCGCACUCCCAGGACCAAAAGGCAGAAGAAGCCAUACAAGAACAGCAACAAAGCCAACAAAAAAGGAUGAGGGGCGGGGAGAGUUCAAAGGCAACUGAGCUCAGAGAGCUGGAUACCUGCUAUACAUGUGCAGAAGGUGGGCCAGAGGAAAGAAGUCUGCCAGUUGCAACCAAACAAGGCACAUGCUGAUCCAACUUCCCUACCCAGUAAGUCGGACAGGGUAUUAUUAUUUGUAAAUAAUCACUUCCAAACUGAUUUACUCAGAAGCAGAUACAACUGAGCUCAAUAAGGCUUACUUACUCAAUACAGCUUGCUUAUAUACUUGCUUCAUGUUAUUAUAAUAAUGACCUUCUAGGAAUGAUAGAAACAGAGAUAGAUAAAAAUAGAGAUAGCCCAUUCUGCUACUUGACGACAGCAGCUAGAAUCGUGUAUGCGAGGAAAUGGAGAAUGAAAGAAACCCCUACUUUAGAAGAAUUGAUAUCCAUAUUAAUAGAUAUUAUGAGCUAAUAGAUAUUAUAAACUGACCCAUCUAUUAUCGAAACAGUCUAAGGGACAAGGAAGGAAAAGUAUGAACUGGUCACCAUUUUACUGGUGACUUGAGACAAAAAAAGAUGGAGUUGAUCAUAAAACCAAAAUAAGAAACAGGAAAAUAACUACAGUAGAGUCUCACUAAUCCAAGCUAAACGGGCCGGCAGAAGCUUGGAUAAGCGAAUAUCUUGGAUAAUAAGGACUGAUCAAGGAAAAGCCUAUUAAACAUCAAAUUAGGUUAUGAUUUUACAAAUUAAGCACCAAAACUUCAUGUUAUACAACAAAUUUGACAGAAAAAGUAGUUCAAUACGCAGUAAUGUUAUGUUGUAAUUCCUGUAUUUACGAAUUUAGCACCAAAAUAUCACGAUAUAUUGGAAACAUUGACUACAAAAAUGGCUUGGAUUAUCCAGAGGCUUGGACAAGCGAGGCUUGGAUUAGUGAGACUCUACUGUAUAUGGUAACUUAAAAAAAAAAAAAAAGGAUAUGUGGACAGUAGAGAAAGAGAAACUAAAAGAAAGAAGAAAACCACAACUGAGAAGAUUGGAAGUCUAAACCUCCUACUGAAUACCCUAUUCUUAACUUCCAAACCCCCUGAGAUAAUUGGAUUAUGUAUAGAUGUUGUUGUUGUUGUUGUUGUUGUUUUCUCUUUUUGUAACAUUAGUCCCUCCCUUAUCCCAAUCCCCAAUUCGUAUAUUUUUUAUUUUAUCUUAUUAUGAUGUUCACAAAAGACUCCAUAAAAUUAUAUAAUAAUAAUAAUAAUAAUAAUAAUAAUAAUAAUAAUAAUAAUAAUAAAAUACAAAUUAGUUGUGUAUUCCUAUAUGCCAAGGGGGUUGGACUAGAUUCUCC